rnacentral:rRNA from 1 species
AUUGAACGCUGGCGGCAUGCCUUACACAUGCAAGUCGAACGGUAACAGGUCUUCGGAUGCUGACGAGUGGCGAACGGGUGAGUAAUACAUCGGAACGUGCCCGCCCGUGGGGGAUAACGAGGCGAAAGCUUUGCUAAUACCGCAUACGAUCUACGGAUGCAAGCGGGGGAUCUUCGGACCUCGCGCGGCCGGAGCGGCCGAUGGCAGAUUCGGUAGUUGGUGGGAUAAAAGCUUACCAAGCCGACGAUCUGUAGCUGGUCUGAGAGGAUGAUCAGCCACACUGGGACUGAGACGCGGCCCAGACUCCGACGGGAGGCAGCAGUGGGGAAGUUUGGACAAUGGGCGAAAUCCUGAUCCAGCCAUGCCGCGUGCAGGAUGAAGGCCUUCGGGUUGUAAACUGCUUUUGUACGGAACGAAAAGCCUCUUUCUAAUAAAGAGGGGUCAUGACGGUACCGUAAGAAUAAGCACCGGCUAACUACGUG